UCAUCAUCAAGUUCUGCAUCUUGUUUCCUCCAGAGGUCAUGGUCUUCCUUGCUUGCCUGUCUCUGUCAGUAUAUUGUAGUCAACGGCGUCAUCUGUAAGAACAACUUGUAGGAAGGUAUUACCUGUAGAGGGAUGAACUUGGAUUGCUGCUUGCUUAGCAGCUUCGUCUGCUUUGUGGUUUCCUCUUGAGAUUUCAUCUGUGAUCUUCACGUGAGCUGCCACCUUGAUGAU